rnacentral:rRNA from 1 species
UACGUAGGGGGCAAGCGUUGUCCGGAUUUAUUGGGCGUAAAGAGCGUGUAGGCGGCCUGAAAGGUCAGCUGUGAAAACUCGAGGCUCAACCUCGAGACGUCGGUUGAAACCAUCUGGCUAGAGUCCGGAAGAGGAGAGUGGAAUUCCCGGUGUAGCGGUGAAAUGCGCAGAUAUCGGGAAGAACACCCGUGGCGAAGGCGGCUCUCUGGGACGGUACUGGACGCUGAGACGCGAAAAGCGUGGGGAGCGAACAGG